rfam:Gossypium raimondii chromosome 6, whole genome shotgun sequence.
AAUCCAAGGUGAAGACACCUUUUCAACAAAUCAUUAAAUCUAUCUCAUGUAUCAUAAAGAGUUUCAAUAUCAAAUUAAACAAAAGAAGAGAUAUCAUUCCUCAACUU